UACGUAGGGGGCAAGCGUUGUCCGGAAUCAUUGGGCGUAAAGAGCGUGUAGGCGGCCCGAUAAGUCUGUUGUGAAAGUCCAGGGCUCAACCCUGGAAUGCCGAUGGAUACUGCCGGGCUAGAGUUCGGAAGAGGCGAGUGGAAUUCCUGGUGUAGCGGUGGAAUGCGCAGAUAUCAGGAGGAACACCUAUAGCGAAGGCAGCUCGCUGGGACGACACUGACGCUGAGACGCGAAAGCGUGGGGAGCGAACAGG
rnacentral:rRNA from 1 species